GCAGCAGUGGGGAAUAUUGGACAAUGGGGGAAACCCUGAUCCAGCAAUGCCGCGUGAGUGAAGAAGGCCUUCGGGUUGUAAAGUUCUUUCGUGGGGGAAGAAAAGGCGCGGGYUAAUACCCUUUGCGCCCAUGACGGUACCCCAAGAAGAAGCACCGGCUAACUACGUGCCAGCAGCCGCGGUAAUACGUAGGGUGCGAGCGUUAAUCGGAAUUACUGGGCGUAAAGCGUGCGUAGGCGGCCGUUUAAGUCAGAUGUGAAAGCCCCGGGCUCAACUUGGGAAUUGCGUUUGAUACUGGACGGCUAGAGACCGAUAGAGGAAGGUGGAAUUCCGCAUGUAGUGGUGAAAUGCGUAGAUAUGCGGAAGAACACUAAUGGCGAAGGCAUCCUUCUGGGUCGGUACUGACGCUGAGGUACGAAAGCGUGGGUAGCAAACAGGAUUAGAUACCCUGGUAGUCCACGCCCUAAACGAUG
rnacentral:rRNA from 1 species